UCACCUCCAGCCCCGCCCCUCAUUCACUCCCAUUGGCUGGAGGACCAACUGCUCUCGCCCGAUCCUCCAGCCCCGCCCCCUCUUCCUAUUGGUAUGGAGCUGCUGUCAAUCACCCGACCCGGAGCUGGAACAUGCGCACUUGGGUACGAAGCCGGACUCAGGCGGAAAUUGGCAGCGGGAGAGAAAUUGCUGGGAUAUUAGAGGAGGAGGAUUUACAGAUGUGAGACUCAAACAGACAUCACGUCAAGAUCUGAUUGAUUGAAUUACUCAAUACAUCAGGACCUGAAUAUUAUCGACCUUUGAAUAUGGAAGGAGAAAUGUAUUUCUGUUCUGUUUGUGGGAAAAGAUUUCAAACACCAUUGUGACUGGAAAAGCACUGAGACACACACACCUGAGUGAGAGUGUUCCAGUGCACUGACUGUGGAAAGAGCUUUAACCACUUAAACAGCCUGUAAAAACUACACACCACUCACAUUGGGGAGAAAUCAUACAAAUGUGUGUGGACAAGGCUUCAACUGAUUGUCCAAUUUGGAGUGACACAAGGAUACUGACACCAUGGAGAAACCGUGGAAAUGUGGGGACUGUGGUAAAGGAUUCAAUUAUCCUUGCUGAAAAACCAUCAAUGCGUUCACACUCAGGAAAAACCAUUUACCUGCUCUGUUUGUGGGAAGGGAUUCAGUUGGUCCUCCCAUCUGCUGGAGCACAACAAACUCACACAGAGGAGAGGCCGUUCAGCUGCACCAAUUGUGGAAAGAGGUUCAGGUCUUCAGCCAAUAUCAUUGUGCACCAACAGGUUCACUCUGGGGAGAAACCGUUCACUUGCUCCGUGUGUGGGAAGGAACACACUCACCCAUCCAACCUGCUGAUACACCAGCGAACUCACACAGGCGAGAGGCCAUUCAUCUGCUCUGUGUGUGGGAAGGGAUUCACUCAGCCAUCUAACCUGCUGACACAUCAGCGAAUUCAUAAGUGACUGCAGGAGUUGGAUUCUACUGUUAUUGUCCUUGGAUCAUGUCCAGGACUGAUAUUCUGAUAAUAAUAUGUUUGUUGAUGUUAACAACUCUCAUAACUGGCUGGAGUUUAAUAUUCUGGAGAGGUCACUGGUUUUCAGGACUGCAGUGUCCUUUUUUAAAAGCACCAUCUGUGAUCUUUCCCCUUAAUUCAAGAACUCUCACCAGGAACUAAUUUACAAUAAAAUUAUGAACUUAUAUUUCAAUCCUAAAUUGAUCUUUAAUGCAAAAUCUACAGUUCAGUGAAAGGCUCCACUGAUUAACAGUUCCGAUUAGAAAGUGCUGAUUAAUCCUAACUGACAAUUCUUACUGACUUACACAUUCUUCACAGUGAAACCUCCAGUUUGAAAUUAAAUUAUCAAGAAACAUGAAACAAAACAUUAAAAUAUUUUACAGGCACAUCAAUAAAAGCUUCAUCAAUCAACAUUGAUAUUGAUGAAGUUUGGAAGUCGCUGAGUUCAAUCAUUUCUGACAUAGCAGCAGCAACAUUUGGUAAAGGUGGAACCCACAACAAAGACUGGUUUGAGAUCCACUCAGCAGAGAUGGCAUCUGCCACUGAAGCAAAAAGCAAAACCCACCUGAUGCACAACAUAAACCCAACAGCUGGAACACUGCAUAACUUGAAUGUAGCCAAGACACUUGUGUAAAAGACCGGGAGAAACUGUGUAAGUAAACACUGGAUCAGUCUGCAUCCAGGAAUCUAAACUGCCUGUGACAAUGGAAAUCUGUAACAUAUGGUGGGAUCAAGAGGGCGCUUGGUCCAACUAUCACCAAAAUCGCCCUCCUGAAAUCGGAAUAUGGUGAAGUAUUCACCAACAGAAGUAAACAGAUGUCCCCCUGAGAAAAUAUUUCAAAUAUCUCUGUGACUGGACAUCACUGUGAGCUGUACUCCUCUGAAACGGACAUCCCCCAGUCUCAAUUUGACACUCCCACAUCUUCCUGUCAUGGUUGAGUUGGAUGAGCUCGAAAAGGCCAUUGAUUGUCCAGCAAGCAGAAAGACACCGGCAAGGAUGGAAUUCCAGCUGAACUGCUCAAGCACGGAAAGUCCCAUCUACUGUCACACAUUCAUGACCUCCUCCUUCUCUGUUACAAAGUCUCAUAGAUUGUUUCUUUUGUGUAUUCAAUCUUUUUUCUUUGGUUAGCUCGUGCUAAAUUGCUGAUAACAUGUCAACACCAUGUUUUUUAUUGAUUUACCUAUUAAUUCAUCUGGUAAAUUAUGUUGUUCUCUUUCAUGCAUCUGUGAUUCUCUCAUUGCUUUUCUCACAGUUUAUACCUGAAUAUCUCAUCUCUCUGACAGAUUUAAUAACGUCUUUUUAUUCGGUUAAUCACCUGACUAUCUGGCUCGAUGAGCAGAAUGCACGUCGUCUGUCCUUUCAGAUCAUUAAUUAGCUCACAGCUUCUCAUCUUAUCCUUCUGGACUUGCUUCUAUUGCUGGUCCUUAGUUUUUAAUGUGUUUAAGUGUGGUUAUUGUUGAGAAACGUUUAAUAAAGUUAUUGGAAUUA